GAUGAACGCUGGCGGCGUGCCUAAUACAUGCAAGUCGAGCGAACAGACGAGGAGCUUGCUCCUCUGACGUUAGCGGCGGACGGGUGAGUAACACGUGGAUAACCUACCUAUAAGACUGGGAUAACUUCGGGAAACCGGAGCUAAUACCGGAUAAUAUAUUGAACCGCAUGGUUCAAUAGUGAAAGACGGUUUUGCUGUCACUUAUAGAUGGAUCCGCGCCGCAUUAGCUAGUUGGUAAGGUAACGGCUUACCAAGGCAGCGAUGCGUAGCCGACCUGAGAGGGUGAUCGGCCACACUGGAACUGAGACACGGUCCAGACUCCUACGGGAGGCAGCAGUAGGGAAUCUUCCGCAAUGGGCGAAAGCUUGACGGAGCAACGCCGCGUGAGUGAUGAAGGUCUUCGGAUCGUAAAACUCUGUUAUUAGGGAAGAACAAAUGUGUAAGUAACUAUGCACGUCUUGACGGUACCUAAUCAGAAAGCCACGGCUAACUACGUGC
rnacentral:rRNA from 1 species